GCAAACUUGGUCAUUUAGAGGAAGUAAAAGUCGUAACAAGGUCUCCGUUGGUGAACCAGCGGAGGGAUCAUUACCGAGUUUACAACUCCCAAACCCUUAUGUGAACCAUACCUAUCGUUGCUUCGGCGGGGACGCCCCGGCUCUCCGAGCCCGGACCCAGGCGCCCGCCGGAGACCCCAAACUCUUGUAUUUGUUUCAGUAUUUUCUGAGUGGCAAACGCAAAAAAUAAAUCAAAACUUUUAACAACGGAUCUCUUGGCUCUGGCAUCGAUGAAGAACGCAGC
rnacentral:misc_RNA from 1 species